AUUAAUUUAGACAUUAGGGUUUAGAGUUAAGGGGUGGGGUUUAGGGUUUAGAGUUUAGGGUUUAGGGUUUAGGGUUUAGGGUUUAGAGUUUAGGGUGGGGUUUAGGGGUGGAGUUUAGAAUUUAGGGUUUAGAGUUUAGGGGUGAGGUUUAGGAUUUAGGGUUUAGGGUUAAGGGGUGGGGUUUAGGAUUUAAGGUUUAGAGUUUAGGGUUUAGGGUAUCGAGUUUAGGGUUUAGGGUUUAGAGUUUAUGGGUAGGGUUUAUGGUUUAGAGUUAAGGGGUGGGGUUUAGGGUUUAGGGUUUAGGGUUUAGGGUUUAGAGUUUAGAGUUGGGGAGUGGGGUUUAGGGUUUAGGGUUUAGGAUUUUGGGUUUAGGAUUUUGGGUUUAAAGUUUAGGGUUUAGAGUUUAGAGUUGGGGAGUGGAGUUUUGGGAUAAGAUUUCAAAUUUUGAAAAAAUAAAAAAAAUUAAAAUUUUCAAAAUAUAAAAUGCUAUUUUGAUCAUUU
rnacentral:lncRNA from 1 species